rnacentral:misc_RNA from 1 species
GAUGUGACACAUCCUAGUACUACGAAUCUGCCGAAUCUGCCUCCAGAUUCGUAGUACUAGGAUGUGUCAC